rnacentral:misc_RNA from 1 species
GAACUGCGAAACGUAAUGUGACCUGCACUCUUCGUGAAUCAUCCAAUCUUUGAACGCACUUUGCACCUUGUGGCUCUUGCCACAAGGUAUACUUUUUUGAGUAUCCGUAACCAUCUCACCCCCCUUCGGGUCGGCGGUGGAGGAUGAGAUUCAAGGUGACCCUCGUGGGUGACUCGUCUCUCAAAAAGCAUGGCCGUUACAUGGUAGGUCUCCGUUGGGACCUGAUGGACCAUUGGGAUAACAUCCUACAAUCGUCCUGUCAGUGUCCUUUGAAGCGUUGACCGGCCUAGGCCACCCGGAUCAAGCAGACGACGUAUCAGCCGCCUGCACGAUCACAUUAUGUAUGCCACUCAUACAUGACAUCUGGAUCUCAAAUCAAGUAAGGAUACCCGCUGAACUU